rnacentral:rRNA from 1 species
AUUGAACGCUGGCGGCAGGCCUAACACAUGCAAGUCGAGCGGAUGAAGGGAGCUUGCUCCUGGAUUCAGCGGCGGACGGGUGAGUAAUGCCUAGGAAUCUGCCUGGUAGUGGGGGAUAACGUCCGGAAACGGGCGCUAAUACCGCAUACGUCCUGAGGGAGAAAGUGGGGGAUCUUCGGACCUCACGCUAUCAGAUGAGCCUAGGUCGGAUUAGCUAGUUGGUGGGGUAAAGGCCUACCAAGGCGACGAUCCGUAACUGGUCUGAGAGGAUGAUCAGUCACACUGGAACUGAGAAACGGUCCAGACUCCUACGGGAGGCAGCAGUGGGGAAUAUUGGACAAUGGGCGAAAGCCUGAUCCAGCCAUGCCGCGUGUGUGAAGAAGGUCUUCGGAUUGUAAAGCACUUUAAGUUGGGAGGAAGGGCAGUAAGUUAAUACCUUGCUGUUUUGACGGUACCAACAGAAUAAGCACCGGCUAACUUCGUG